UGCAAGUCGAGCGCCCCGCAAGGGGAGCGGCGGACGGGUUAGUAACGCGUGGGAAUGUACCCUUUUCUACGGAAUAGCCUCGGGAAACUGAGAUUAAUACCGUAUACGCCCUUCGGGGGAAAGAUUUAUCGGAGAAGGAUCAGCCCGCGUAAGAUUAGAUAGUUGGUGGGGUAAUGGCCUACCAAGUCUACGAUCUUUAGCUGGUUUGAGAGGAUGAUCAGCAACACUGGGACUGAGACACGGCCCAG
rnacentral:rRNA from 1 species